UACGUAGGUGGCAAGCGUUGUCCGGAUUUAUUGGGUUUAAAGGGUGCGUAGGUGGCUUUGUAAGUCAGUGGUGAAAGUUUUCAGCUUAACUGGAAAAUUGCCAUUGAUACUGCAGGGCUUGAGUACAGAUGAGGUAGGCGGAAUGUGUCAUGUAGCGGUGAAAUGCAUAGAUAUGACACAGAACACCGAUUGCGAAGGCAGCUUACUAAACUGAUACUGACACUGAGGCACGAAAGCGUGGGGAUCAAACAGG
rnacentral:rRNA from 1 species